CAGUGAGAGCUGAGAGGCAGUAG
rnacentral:piRNA from 1 species